AGGGCUUUGACUUUUACCCUGAGUGACGUAAGAAGUAGUUGGAGCUUUCAAACACAGGAGUGAUAUGACAUGAGUUACAUUUUUAUCGAAGUACCCUGACCACUAUGUGAGAGUAAGUUUGAUAGAGUAAGGGGCUGGGAGGGAAGGCCAGAAACAGGGAGACCAGGUAGAAGACCAUUUCUGAAAUCUAGUCUUGGGAUCACAUUGGCUCUGACCAAGGUUGUUCAGUAAAGGAAGAAAAACACAGAUGCUAUAGAUGCUUUAACAGAAUUUCUGGAUGAUUUGAAUGUGACAUUUGAAAUAAAGAGAGAGUCAUGGAUGGCUGAGGUUUGGGUCCUGAGCAGCUGCAAGUGUAUUUCCAUUAAUGGCAUCAGGCAAGACUUUCAGAACAAAAAUUUAGAGAAGGAAAGAACAGAGUUGUUGUUACGGUUGUUCUUCCUCUUACUAUUGUCAUUAUUGCUAUAAUUAAGGUAGCGUCAUCAAUCCUUUCCCCUUUAUUCUCAGUCUCAUCUUCUGUCAAUUUUCUUAUUUUUCUAGCAGAUACUCAGUGUGGCACACCUAUGCCAUGAUUUGCUCAGCAAGUUACAUCUAGCUGCUCCCUUUUCCUACUGUGAUCUAGCCCCACAGACAAAUAAGCGGACACUUAACACAUCUCUUUCCUGGGCACAUAACCUUGAAUCUCCCUCUCUGCUUCUAUAGUCACGCCUUCUUGCUCUCACCCCCACAGAAAACACCUGUCUUUCCUUCUUUUGGAAAAGACACUGGUCUUUACUUUUUCUCAUUUUAACCAUUUUUCUUCCUCUUACUCCAAUUUUUAUUAAUCCUUGUACCACUUCUUACCCACUAACAAUACUGUCUGCUCUCAUUCCCAUUAAUUCUCCUCUGACGUCUCAAUAUCACAAUAAAUCUCCAACCUUUCUUCCUGACUUAUCCUUUACCCUUGGUCCUAGUUACAACUCUUUGCAAUAGGAAAAAGUCAUUUGAUGUCUCUGGGUCUGUUUGCUCCUCUGUAAAAUAAAGGCAUUACAUGAGAUUAUUUCUAAAGAUACUUUCAGCUUUAACUUCUGAUCCAACUGAUUCUGCGUUUAGCUCUUCAGUGAUUUUUCAUGUGUGGCAAGUUCCAUUUCAUUUCCUAUUUCCUAACUCACUUUCAAAUCUCUCCUUUCAUUACUUUCUUAUCAUUUCCAAAGUCUUAACCACAUUUUUCAUCAUUAUUUCUUACACCAAGCCAAGUGGUUUUUACCACACCUUAAUGAUGGUCAAAAGAGAGUGUUUUGCGUUGUGUUUUAGAUUUUUUUCCUAAUGCUGGCAAGCAGAAUGAUAGAGGGAUAAUGUUUCAAGUCUGAAGGAAAACAACCUCAUUUGGACAUUCUUUCACCAUGAAUGAAAUCUUCUUAUGAUUACCUUUGAGAAAUCCGUGACUGAAAAGUUUUGUUAAACACCAGUGACAAGCAGCUACUGGCAUAAUACCUGCUUUGAUUUUCUCAGACACACUCUAAGUUUUCAUGCUCACUUCUCUGUGGUCCCUCACCUCUGACUUCCUUUGUCAUGUAACUGCCAAUUUUGAUCGGUUAAUUGACAGAGGGAAGGGGUGAUAAGAAAAAAAGAAAACAAUUUAGCUCAGUGGAUUGCCCCUUUACAAAUAAGGAAACACAGUUUGUCCUAGAUUUCAGACUAAGCUGAUAACAUUUUAAAAAUCCUGUACAGGAAAGGUCUUUUUUAAAUGUUUUUAUUUACCAAAAAGUUUUGGGUGAUUUUGAAAUACAUUAGACAUCCCAUUCAUUGAGGAAAGGAUGAUUUAUUCCAAAACAUUCUUUAAUAGUCCUAAAAUGAUUUUGUCUAUCAGAGCAGAAGGAACAAAGGGAAAAAUCCACCUGAGAAAAGAUCUUUGUAUCAUGGAAAUUAUGAAGCUAGAUUAGACAUUAAAGAAAUUCACACGCACACAUAGUUUAAAAUUCCAUUUUUAAGAUUAAAUUUUCACGACACAUUAUGACUGUAAAUGAGUUACUUGAAUACCAAUUAUUACCUCUAGUUAUUUUUAGCAAGGGAGCUGGACUUCACUUUACUUAAUGCUAGCUUAUAAAUUUAACUUCGUAAAAUUAUACGGGAAAUGCGUCC
ensembl:lncRNA